GUAGUAUGACGUAUUUUAUUUUUGCUCGCGUUAAUGCGCGGCGACAAGCAAACACUUACACAUGUGUUUUUGUUUAUUGAAAACUUGCUUUGGUUUGGCGAAAGCUGGGCCAAAGACUUACACAAACUUCAAUUGCGAAAUUGAAUUGUUUUAAAUUUUUAUUGUCAAUUUUGUUUGAUUAAUUUCAAAAUAAUCUUCAAAACUUUCAACAACGGAUCUCUUGGUUCUCGCAUCGAUGAAGAACGCAGCGAAAUGCGAUAAGUAAUAUGAAUUGCAGAUUUUCGUGAAUCAUCGAAUCUUUGAACGCACAUUGCGCCCUUUGGUAUUCCAAAGGGCAUGCCUGUUUGAGCGUCAUUUCUCCUUCAAACCUUUGGGUUUGGUGUUGAGUGAUACUCUUAGUCAACUAAGUGUUUGCUUCAAAUAUAAUGGCAGGAGUGUACUGGAUAGUACGAACUGGUUAUUCAAUGUAUUAGGUUUAUCCAACUCGUUGAAGACUGGGGCAGUAAAUUUCUAGUAAUUGGCUCGGCCUUAUAAUAACAAACUAAGUUUGACCUCAAAUCAGGUAAGAAUACCCGCUGAACUUAAGCAUAUCAAUAAGCGGAGGAGGAUCAUUACUGAUAGUUUUAGUUUGUUGCCUGCGCUUAAUUGCGCGGCGACAGCAAACACCUUACACACUGUGUUUUUGUUUAUUGAAAACUUGCUUUGGUUUGGCGAAAGCUGGGCCAAGACUUACACAAACUUCAUUUGCGAAAUUGAAUUGUUUAAAUUUUAUUGUCAAUUUUGUUUGAUUAAUUUCAAAAUAUUCUCAAACUUUCAACACGAUCUCUGUUUCGCAUCGCAUGAAGACGCCACGCAAAUGGCGAUAGUAAUAUGGAAUGUGCAGGAU
rnacentral:rRNA from 1 species